rnacentral:rRNA from 1 species
AACGAACGCUGGCGGCAUGCCUAAUACAUGCAAGUCGAACGAGCCCUUCGGGUCCUGUGGCGUCCGGGUGCGUCACGCGUGGGAACCUGCCCUUAGGUUUGGCAUAACUCUCCGACAGGGGUGCUAAUACCGGAUAAUGUCUUCGGCCCAAAGAUUUAUCGCCUUUGGUUGGGCCGUCGUUGGAUUAGCUAGUUGGUAGGGUAAAAGCUUACUACGGCGACGAUCCAUAGCUGGUCUGAGAGGAUGGUCAGCCACACUGGGACUGAGACGCGGCCCAGACUCCUACGGGAGGGAGCAAUGGGGAAUAGAGGACAGUGGGCGGAGGCAUGAUCCAGUAAUGCCGCGAGAGUGAUGAAGGCCGUAGAGUAGUAAAGCGCUAUUAACCGGGAUGAUAAUGACGGUACCGGGAGAAUAAGCUCCGGCUAACUCCGUG